rnacentral:tRNA from 1 species
CACCGGCCUUUCACGUCGGCAACAGGGGUUCGAAUCCCCUUGGGGACGCCA